GCGGUCUAGAUUAGCCAUGGCACGUCUAGUACAAACUAAAUGGAUGGUGGAAACUGCAAAUGGCUCAUUACAACGGUUAUGAUGUACCCGGGAGUUCCGAUGGAUAUUUCCAGUAACACUAGAACUAAUACAUGUCCCUGCGUUUAUUAGUUUCGCACAGUCCGUCGCUGAGUCAUGGUAAACAGUUGAUCGACUCGACGUCCCGGAACAGUUUCCGCCCCAUCAGCUUCGAUGGUUGGGUAUUGGCCUACCAUUGCAACAACGGGUAACGAGGAAUUAGGGUUUGAUUUCGGAGAGGGAGCCUGAGAAACGGCUACCACAUCUACGGAUGGCAGCAGGCGCGCAAAUUACCCAAUGCAGACACUGUGAGGUAGUGACGAGAAAUAAUAAAGCGGGACUUCUGUUUCGCUAUUAUAAUGAGGAAUAACCAAAGGUCAUUCCGAUUAGCAACUGAUGGGAAAGUCUGGUGCCAGCAGCCGCGGUAAUACCAGCGUCAGUAG
rnacentral:rRNA from 1 species